AACGAACGCUGGCGGCAUGCCUAACACAUGCAGGUCGAACGAGAUCUUCGGGUCUAGUGGCGCACGGGUGCGUAACGCGUGGGAAUCUGCCCUUUGGUUCGGAAUAACGGUUGGAAACGACUGCUAAUACCGGAUGAUGACGAAAGUCCAAAGAUUUAUCGCCAGAGGAUGAGCCCGCGUAGGAUUAGCUAGUUGGUGUGGUAAAGGCGCACCAAGGCGACGAUCCUUAGCUGGUCUGAGAGGAUGAUCAGCCACACUGGGACUGAGACACGGCCCAGACUCCUACGGGAGGCAGCAGUGGGGAAUAUUGGACAAUGGGCGAAAGCCUGAUCCAGCAAUGCCGCGUGGGUGAUGAAGGCCUUAGGGUUGUAAAGCUCUUUUACCCGGGAUGAUAAUGACAGUACCGGGAGAAUAAGCUCCGGCUAACUCCGUGCCAUCCGCCGCGGUAA
rnacentral:rRNA from 1 species